UGGGCGAAAGCCUGAUCCAGCCAUGCCGCGUGUGUGAAGAAGGUCUUCGGAUUGUAAAGCACUUUAAGUUGGGAGGAAGGGCAGUAAAUUAAUACUUUGCUGUUUUGACGUUACCUACAGAAGAAGCACCUGGCUAACUCUGUGCCAGCAGCCGCGGUAAUACAGAGGGUGCAAGCGUUAAUCGGAAUGACUGGGCGUAAAGGGCGUGUAGGUGGAUACAUAAGUCAAAGGUGAAAUCCCCGGGCUUAACCUGGGAACUGCCUGUGAAACUGUGAAUCUAGAGUAUGGGAGAGGGAAGUGGAAUUUCCGGUGUAGCGGUGAAAUGCGUAGAUAUCGGAAGGAACACCAGUGGCGAAGGCGACUUCCUGGCCUAAUACUGACACUGAGGCGCGAAAGCGUGGGGAGCAAACAGGAUUAGAUACCCUGGUAGUCCACGCCGUAAACGAUGAGAACUAGAUGUUGGGUAGCUAAGGCUAUCUAGUAUCGUAGCUAACGCGAUAAGUUC
rnacentral:rRNA from 1 species